rnacentral:rRNA from 1 species
UACGAAGGGGGCUAGCGUUGCUCGGAAUCACUGGGCGUAAAGCGCACGUAGGCGGCUUCUUAAGUCAGGGGUGAAAUCCUGGAGCUCAACUCCAGAACUGCCCUUGAUACUGAGGAGCUCGAGUCCGGAAGAGGUGAGUGGAACUGCGAGUGUAGAGGUGAAAUUCGUAGAUAUUCGCAAGAACACCAGUGGCGAAGGCGGCUCACUGGUCCGGUAUUGACGCUGAGGCGCGAAAGCCAGGGAGCAAAGCGGG